rfam:Triticum urartu cultivar G1812 contig73185, whole genome shotgun sequence.
AUACCUUUCUCGGCCUUUUGACUAAGAUCAAGUGUAGUAUCUGUUCUUAUCAGUUUAAUAUUUGAUAUAUGGGCCAUGUGCCCAUAACGAUAUUAAAUUUAUUUUUUAUGAGGGUGAGCCCAUCACAGUAGCUUGUUAUUGGGGUCCACAUGCGUCGCCUGGGUGUUGCACUACUGCCUUAGCCUGACGCACCACAA